CCCUUAGAUGUUCUGGGCCGCACGCGCGCUACACUGACGAAUGCAACGAGCUUAUAACCUUGGCCGAAAGGUCUGGGUAAUCUCCAAAUUUCGUCGUGAUGGGGAUAGAUUAUUGCAAUUAUUAAUCUUCAACGAGGAAUGCCUAGUAAGCGCAAGUCAUCAGCUUGCGUUGAUUACGUCCCUGCCCUUUGUACACACCGCCCGUCGCUCCUACCGAUUGAAUGGUCCGGUGAAGCGUUCGGACCGUGGCCUUUGGACGGUUCGCCGUCUGUUGGCUGCGGGAAGUUCGUUAAACCUUAUCAUUUAGAGGAAGGUGAAGUCGUANCA
rnacentral:rRNA from 1 species